GGGUGCAGCCCUCGGGAACCCCGGGGACCUCGGCGGGUCUCCACCCCUGGGAGAAGAAGCAGAGCAAGCGCGAAGAUGAGAUGAAGAACAAAGCCCAUAUGAGUCAUAGUCAAAAAAUUGAGGAAGACAUAAUUAGCAGCUGAAGAAUGACUCAGAUCAUCAGUAGUGAAUAAGAAUGAUUAGGGGGAAAUAGAGACAGUUUAAUCAGUCCGUGACCAAAAUCAAACAGAGUAAACUGUGUCAUCAUGGAGAUCUGCCCAGGAAAUCCCCAAAAUACAGAAGGAUCAGAAGUAGAUGGAAAUAAUGUCAUAGAACGUCUCUCACAACUGUGUUAUAAGAAUGACAGGGAAGCUACAGGUUACAACAGAUUUGUGAACUCAGCCAAGCACAGUGGUGGCAGGGCCUAGCUGCUACAAAGAAGACAUGUUUUAGACAAAUACUCAUGUGUAUGGGCAAAAAACUCGAGGACUGUAUUUGUGACUAAUUGUGUAACAGGGUAUUUUAGUUCCUGUUCUGUGGAAAGUGUAAAGCAUUCCAACAAAGGGUUUUAAUGUAGAUUUUUUUUUGCACCCAUGCUUUGAUUGCUAAAUGUAAUAGUCAGAUCGUGACGCUGAAUAAAUGUCUUUUUCUAAAAAAAAAAAAAAAGAAUGACACAUAUUUGUUCUUCAUUCUUGUUUCACAUUAGUAGUGGCAUUUCUCAUGCUCUAUUUUCCCA
rnacentral:lncRNA from 1 species